rnacentral:rRNA from 2 species
GCAUAUCAAUAAGCGGAGGAAAAGAAACCAACAGGGAUUGCCCUAGUAACGGCGAGUGAAGCGGCAACAGCUCAAAUUUGAAAUCUGGCUCUUUUAGAGUCCGAGUUGUAAUUUGCAGAGGGCGCUUUGGCUUUGGCAGCGGUCCAAGUUCCUUGGAACAGGACGUCACAGAGGGUGAGAAUCCCGUACGUGGUCGCUAGCUAUUGCCGUGUAAAGCCCCUUCGACGAGUCGAGUUGUUUGGGAAUGCAGCUCUAAAUGGGAGGUAAAUUUCUUCUAAAGCUAAAUAUUGGCCAGAGACCGAUAGCGCACAAGUAGAGUGAUCGAAAGAUGAAAAGCACUUUGGAAAGAGAGUCAAACAGCACGUGAAAUUGUUGAAAGGGAAGCGCUUGCAGCCAGACUUGCUUGCAGUUGCUCAUCCGGGCUUUUGCCCGGUGCACUCUUCUGCAGGCAGGCCAGCAUCAGUUUGGGCGGUGGGAUAAAGGUCUCUGACACGUUCCUUCCUUCGGGUUGGCCAUAUAGGGGAGACGUCAUACCACCAGCCUGGACUGAGGUCCGCGCAUCUGCUAGGAUGCUGGCGUAAUGGCUGUAAGCGGCCCGUCUUGAAACACGGACC